rnacentral:tRNA from 1 species
AAAAAAAUAAGCUAAUUAAGCUAUUGGGUUCAUACCCCAUUUAUAAAGGAAACUACCCCUUUUCUUUUUA